UUGAAGUUUACACUGCACUUCUCAACCCACAUGACCGUAUUAUGGGUCUGGAUCUUCCUCAUGGAGGUCACUUGUCACAUGGAUUUAUGACUCCUAAAAGACGGGUAUCUGGGACUUCGAUUUAUUUUGAAUCGAUGCCCUACCGUCUUGAUGAAUCAACAGGCCUUAUUGAUUAUGAUAUGCUUGAGAAAACUGCCACCCUCUUUCGACCAAAACUCAUCAUUGUUGGUGUUAGUGCUUAUCCUCCUG